CCUACGGGAGGCAGCAGUGGGGAAUCUUGCGCAAUGGGCGAAAGCCUGACGCAGCCAUGCCGCGUGAAUGAUGAAGGUCUUAGGAUUGUAAAAUUCUUUCACCGGGGACGAUAAUGACGGUACCCGGAGAAGAAGCCCCGGCUAACUUCGUGCCAGCAGCCGCGGUAAUACGAAGGGGGGCUAGCGUUGCUCGGAAUUACUGGGCGUAAAGGGAGCGUAGGCGGAUAGUUUAGUCAGAGGUGAAAGCCCAGGGCUCAACCUUGGAAUUGCCUUUGAUACUGGCUAUCUUGAGUAUGGGAGAGGUUAGCGGAACUCCGAGUGUAGAGGUGAAAUUCGUAGAUAUUCGGAAGAACACCAGUGGCGAAGGCGGCUAACUGGCCCAUUACUGACGCUGAGGCUCGAAAGCGUGGGGAGCAAACAGGAUUAGAUACCCUGGUAGUCCACGCCGUAAACGAUGAGUGCUAGUUGUCGGCAUGCAUGCAUGUCGGUGACGCAGCUAACGCAUUAAGCACUCCGCCUGGGGAGUACGGUCGCAAGAUUAAAACUCAAAAUGAAAUUGACGG
rnacentral:rRNA from 1 species